rnacentral:rRNA from 1 species
UACGUAGGGUGCAAGCGUUGCUCGGUAUCACUGGGCUUAAAGGGCGCGUAGGCGGUGCGGUACGGUUUCGGUGAAAUCCCUCGGCCCAACCGAGGAACAGCCGGAGCUACGGCCGGACUAGACGGCAUCAGGGGACAGUGGAACUCCCGGUGGAGCGGUGAAAUGCGUAGAUAUCGGGAGGAACGCCGGUGGCGAAAGCGACUGUCUGGGGUGCCUGUGACGCUGAGGCGCGAAAGCCAGGGGAUCAAACGGG